UGUUACCAUUGCAGCAUGUUCCCUUUGUGCUAGAUGAAUCACCGUCUUCCUUCAUGCUGUGUUCUGAGAGAUAAGGGUGUUUGAAAGCCAAACUUCACCAAGCUUGUUGGGAGCACAAAGACAUUCUUCAGUUGGAAACUACACUACAUACAUAUAUAUGGGGAGGUACUACCUCCUACUCAUUUUUACAGUGAAAACAGCAGGAAAUUCAAACCAGCAC